UUUCAAGAAUUUAUUAGAAAUAAGACCUGCUCAGUGAAAAUUAAACAGCAAUUAUAAAGUAGCAUAAUAAUUUGUCUUUUAAUUGAAGACUAGAAUGAAAGGAUAAACGAAAAUUCAUCUUUUUUAUUUUUUUUAAAAGAAUCUAACAUUUAAGUAAAAAGGCUUAAAUAAAUUUAAAAGACGAUAAGACCCUAUAGAACUUAAUAACAUAAAAAAAAAUAAAAUAAAAAAAUUUUACUGGGGAAGUAAAAGAAUAAAAAUUUUUUUAAAAAUUAACUCUUAAAAAGAACAAAAAAACCUUUUAAGAAAGUAAAAAGUUACCUUAGGGAUAACAGAGUAAAAAUUUUUUAGAGAUCAAAUCAAAAAAAUUAUAUACUACCUCGAUGUUGAAUUAAGGAAUAACUUAAUAGAAAAAAAUUAAGUAUAAGGUCUGUUCGACCUUUAAAACCU
rnacentral:rRNA from 1 species